UCCGGUUUGUCACCGGCAGUCUCGCAUGAGUCCCCAGCUUUACCUGCUGGCAACAUGCGACGAGGGUUGCGCUCGUUGCGGGACUUAACCCAACAUCUCAUGACACGAGCUGACGACAGCCAUGCAGCACCUGUGUUACGGUUCCCUUUCGGGCACACCUCCAUCUCUGGAGGCUUCCGUACAUGUCAAGGGUAGGUAAGGUUUUUCGCGUUGCAUCGAAUUAAUCCACAUAAUCCACCGCUUGUGCGGGUCCCCGUCAAUUCCUUUGAGUUUUAAUCUUGCGACCGUACUCCCCAGGCGGGAUGCUUAAUGCGUUAGCUGCGCCACUGAAGGGUAAACCCACCAACGGCUAGCUCUCAUAGUUUACGGCGUGGACUAC
rnacentral:misc_RNA from 1 species